CACCCAAUGACAGUGCACAAAUGGAGUAACUUAGGGGAUGAGAGGUUGACAGCGCAGCAACUCAACAAACUCAUAGAUGCAUCAGAUGAUCGCUAUGUAGCGGCUGCAGAAAGAAUGAAAAAUGUUGACAUUUUAAUCAUUGAUGAAAUUCCAAUGUUUAGUAAAUCCAUGUUUAAAAUUAUGAGUCAUGUAAGAGGAAGCAGUGAAGUAUUUGGUGGGGCACAGCUUGUCAUUGUAGGAGAUUUUCUUGAUCCCCUCACCCUGUUAGAAGUUCAAGGUAUAAUGAUCCUGGAGAAUUCUGAUUCCAGUCUGAGGUAUUUCCUGUUCAUAGUAUAUAUCUGUUACAUGUUAUGAGACAGACAGAUGAACGAUUUAUUAAAAUAGUGCAUAAUCUUGCCAUUGGAAAGGUUGACCAUGAAACUACCGCUUAUGUUAAAUAUUUAAGAAGGCAUUUAACUCUCCCAGGCCAAGAGACGACAAGACUCUUCUCCGUUAACAUAUUGGCAGACAUUUACAGCAGAGACUGCAAAAUGAAACUCACAGGAAAUGUCUUUGAAUUCGAAAGCAAUUGGCGAGGGCGAGGAGCGGCACUUAAACACCUUGAUCGCCCAGAAGACCCUUUGAUUAAAAAAAAAAUUGCAAAGGUCAGGUUACUGCAUAACCUGUCUGACCAGCUUGUAAAUGUUUUAUGUGGCUCAGUAGUGGAAGUUAGAGAGGGUGAAAUAGAUGACCACUUCUCAACACUAGGCAAGCUUACUACUUUAACAAGGAUGAACUUUGCAGGAUUGCACUCAUGUGAAAUAAUUUCUAAUUCAAGCUGUGACACCUUAUGACUGUUUACUAAUAUUUGAUCCAGCCUCCAACAGAAACGUAGCAGUGAGAAAUCAGGUGCCGCUGAAAUUAUGCUACGCAAUUACAGUGCACAAAGCUCAAGGAAUGACACUUGAUAGGGUUGAAGUUGACUGUAGACAGAUUUUCCAGUCUGGACAGCUAGUUGUGGUGAUGGGUCGUGUUAAGUCACCUGAUGGUUUGCGGGUGGUGAACUUAACUGAAGAUGCUGUUAUCCCACAACCUUCUCUGGUGUUAGAUUUCUUGAAUGGCCAGUGGAUACCAGCAGAGGUUGAUAAAUCCUGCUGCCAUACAAUAUGUAACAGACAUGUAGAAGAAGGGAAAGCCAUUAGACUCUGAUAUUGAUUUUGAUGAUGAUACCACUGAGCUGUUAGAAGGUCUUGACAUUGAAAGUUUAAUUUUUGAAUCACAAAAGACUGUACAACGACCAAAUUUGUCUCUCCCAAAAGAAAUCAAAAUAGAGGAAGAACUGAAUUUAUUAAAGUUUGAAGAACCCCGGAGAGAAAAUCAGACUGUUCACAAUCAUUUCAUUCAGUAUUUACUUGAUAAUAGUGCUUUCAUCUUUUACAAAUGUUCAAUGAAACUGUGAAAGACAGUAAGACAUAAGAAGCACAGGCUGGCUUUUUCAGAGCC